rnacentral:rRNA from 1 species
UACGUAGGGUGCAAGCGUUGUCCGGAAUUAUUGGGCGUAAAGAGCUCGUAGGCGGUCUGUCGCGUCGGCUGUGAAAACCUGGGGCUUAACUCCGGGCCUGCAGCCGAUACGGGCAGACUAGAGUUCGGCAGGGGAGACUGGAAUUCCUGGUGUAGCGGUGAAAUGCGCAGAUAUUAGGAAGAACACCAGUGGCGAAGGCGGCUCACUGGCCCGGUACUGACGCUGAGGCGCGAAAGCGUGGGGAGCAAACAGG